AUGGCUGAGAAGGCGGUGUGGGAUGAUGCCCAUCUGAAGAAACUCGUUGAAAUAUUGAGAGAAGAGGUUGAAAAGGGGAAUAGGCCAUUAGGUUAUUUAAACAAGAAGGGUUGGGCAAAUGUUUUGGAGAAAUGGGAAGCAAGAACGAGAAAGAAGUAUCCCAAGGAUAAAUUCAAGAACAAGUGGGAUGCCAUAAAAAAUGAGUACACUUGGUUCAUGGAGUUGAAAAAUGAAGCAACUGGGCUUGGAUGUGAUGAUGCAAAGAGAACCGUUGAUUGCUCUAAAGAAUGGUGGGAUGAACAUAUCAAGAGAUGCCAAGAGAGUACAGGAAAGAAAUGCAAUCAUAUGAAGUUCAAAAAAUAG
rnacentral:rRNA from 1 species